UAAUAAUAACAACAAGAACAACAAUACUAAUAGUAAUAGUACCACUACUGCUACUACUACUAAUAAUAAUAAUAAUACUGUUAAAAAUAUCCACUUCGCAACCAAAAACAAAUACAGAAAUGACAAAAGUCAAGACAUCAGCCACGUCCCACCUCUAUUCUGUAUACCCAGAGUAAAUUCUGAUAUUAUUUGGGCUCUUUCAUGUUUUUGUUUUCUGUUCAACAGGCUUUGUUUCUUCUUUCCCAAUUCACAUACAGAAAAGAAGAACAAUGUUAAACUAAUGCUUUUUCCAACACUUGCUAUCCCACACAAUACAGUGGUUUACACAGGAAAGAACCCCAUCACAGAAAGUCAUGGACAGGAGCGAUAUGUCCUUGAAGUGAUGAUGUGGAUCAACAUGUGUGUCUGCCUCCCUUUGACUAUACUGAUCAUCUACUGUGUGUCUUAUUUGGUGCAGAAGAGUCAGGUCUCUAGCAUCUAUUACACAAAUCUCCUCAUCACCAAUCUAAUCCACAUCUGCAUAAUGACCAUUUGGGUGACAAGAGUGGAAAGCAUCAUCACCGUCAUUAUUUAUUACUGUGUUAUGAUGGCCAACCUUUACUUCAGGAUGUGCAUUGCUCUGGAAAGGUAUUUUUCCAUCACACACCCACUGCUGGACUGUCUCAAAAACACUAAGAGUUCAGUGGUGGUCUGUGUUCUGGUCUGGGCUUUUUGUUUUGUCAGUGUUCCUCUUGCCAUAGUCUUAAAUACAUUUCAACAUUUAAUUAUUUAUGUCAUUAUCCCUGCUCCUGUGUUCUUCUUCUGCUUAGCUCAGACCUGCAGAGCCCUCCCUGCUGCCACCUCAAUGUCCAUUGAGGAAAAACAAAGAAGUCUAGGAACUCUGACUCUGUUGUUCUUAAACUAUGUUGUAAUAAUCCUUCCCACAAUUGCCUGUCAUGUU